CCUCGCGUGCCGCCGCGUCCUCGCAGACCCCGAGCCGCCGGUCGGGCGCGCGGUGCGCGCGUCUCCGCCCGAAGACGCUGGUUUGGAGGGGGGCCGAGAGAGAUGAAAAGCUGCAGAAAUCUGGCAGUUUAAAAGACGAGAAGUUUUAUCGUUUUUGCUUUCGUGAAUUAGUUGGCAUGGGGACGACAGCAAAAAAAAUAAGUCUUUUCACCAUGUGGAGAUCAAUUCCUUUCUGGGCUGUCGGAAAGAUGCAGAGAAAAAAGUUGAGAAGAGAAUUCAGGAAAAUCGGUGUGAGUGGAGGAGAAGGUGAGGAGGGAAUGUUGGCCCUGCCUGGACCUCUGGGAGAAGACAGUCCAUUUGGUGUCCUGAGCCACCUUGGGUUGGCCUUUAGAAAGGUAGGAAUGAGCACAGAGGGGCCCUUUUAUUGUUCUGAUAACCAGUUAUUCAGCUCCCUUCCUUCCCCCCAGCACAUACACAUACUUGUCUCUCCCAGGUCCAGGAGGGAGGAAUCCAAAAAGUUCCAGAGAUGGGGCGCCUGGGUGGCUCAGUCGGUUGAGCGUCCAACCUCAGCUCAGGUCAUGA